rnacentral:tRNA from 1 species
GCCCUAGUAGCUUAGCCACAAAGCGCC